UACAGAGGUGCCGAGCGUUAGGCGGAAUCACUGGGCUUCAAGCGUGUGUAGGCGGACUGAUAAGUACCUUGUGAAAUCCCACGGCUUAACCGUGGAACUGCUUGGUAUACUGUCGGUCUUGAGCCAGCUAGAGGUUACCGGAACAAAUGGUGGAGCGGUGAAAUGCGUAGAUAUAGGGAAGAACAUCAAACGGCGAAGGCAGUUAACUAUUCGGCUACUGACAUUGAGGCAUGAAAGCGUGGGGAGCAAAACGG
rnacentral:rRNA from 1 species